AUUGAACGCUGGCGGCAUGCCUUACACAUGCAAGUCGAACGGUAACGGGCCUUCGGGUGCCGACGAGUGGCGAACGGGUGAGUAAUGUAUCGGAACGUACCUUUCAGUGGGGGAUAACGUAGCGAAAGUUACGCUAAUACCGCAUACGUCCUGAGGGAGAAAGCGGGGGACCGAAAGGCCUCGCGCGAUUGGAGCGGCCGAUGUCGGAUUAGCUAGUUGGUGGGGUAAAGGCCUACCAAGGCGACGAUCCGUAGCGGGUCUGAGAGGAUGAUCCGCCACACUGGGACUGAGACACGGCCCAGACUCCUACGGGAGGCAGCAGUGGGGAAUUUUGGACAAUGGGGGCAACCCUGAUCCAGCCAUGCCGCGUGAGUGAAGAAGGCCUUCGGGUUGUAAAGCUCUUUCAGACGGAAAGAAAACGCAUCGGUGAAUACCCGAUGUGGAUGACGGUACCGUAAGAAGAAGCACCGGCUAACUACGUG
rnacentral:rRNA from 1 species